rnacentral:lncRNA from 1 species
ACAGCCCUUUCUUUGCAGCUGUCACUAGAAGACUUCUGGGUUUCCCUCUGGAAGAAAGCCUCCCAUCUAAGCCUGCUGCCCUUCCAUCCCUUAUUCGCUCUCUGCAAACCGCUCCUCCAAGCCUUUCCAUUGUGCUCUGCCUCCAGCAUAAGACCUUCACCUCCUUUGUAGUGGGGAGACUUACUUGAGGCUCUCUGAACCUCCGGCUGCAAUGGAGCUGUAUGGAAAGAUGGCCUCGGCACAAGAUGCCAGGUUUGGUCAGAAAGACUCUUCUGACCAGAACUUCGACUACAUGUUCAAGUUGCUGAUCAUUGG